UAGUCCACGCCCUAAACGAUGCUUACUCGACAUGUAUAUGCGUGUCCAAGGGAAACCAUUAAGUAAACCACCUGGGGAGUACGAUCGCAAGGUUGAAACUCAAAGGAAUUGACGGGGGCCCGCACAAGCGGUGGAGCAUGUGGAUUAAUUCGAUGAUACGCGAGGAACCUUACCUGGGCUUAAAUGGAAUCGGAUUGUCGCCGAAAGGUGUCGUUCUUUUUAGACUGAUUUCAAGGUGCUGCAUGGCUGUCGUCAGCUCGUGCCGUGAGGUGUUGGGUUAAGUCCCGCAACAAGCGCAACCCCUUUCUCUAGUUGCCAGCACAUAAUGGUGGGGACUCUAGAGAUACUGCCUACGUAAGUAGUGAGGAAGGUAGGGACGACGUCGAGUCAUCAUGGCCCUUACGUCCAGGGCUUCACACGUGCUACAAUGGUAGAUACAAAGAGUAGCCACUCAGCGAUGAGGAGCGAAUCUCAAAAAGUCUAAUCUCAGUUCGGAUCGGAGU
rnacentral:rRNA from 1 species